UCAGUAACACGUAGUCAACCUAACCUGUGGACGUGGAUAAUCUCGGGAAACUGAGAAUAAACCACGAUAGAUAACGGUGCCUGGAAUGGCCCAUUGUCCAAACAGUUUACUGCCACGGGAUGGGACUGCGGCCUAUCAGCUUGUUGGUGAGGUAAUGGCCCACCAAGGCUAUAACAGGUACGGGCUCUGAGAGGAGAAGCCCGGAGAUGGGUACUGAGACUACGGACACCAGGCCCUAUGGGGCGCAGCAGGCAGAGAAACCUUAGCAAUAGUGCGAAAGCACGACUGGGUCAGUCCGAGUAGAUUUCUGAUAAAGGAAUCUCUUUGCUAGUCCUACAAAGCGACUAGCGAAUAAGGGGUGGGCAA
rnacentral:rRNA from 1 species